CACGUAGGGGGCGAGCGUUGUCCGGAUUUAUUGGGCGUAAAGGGCUCGUAGGCGGCCAACUAAGUCAGACGUGAAAUCCCUCGGCUUAACCGGGGAACUGCGUCUGAUACUGGAUGGCUUGAGUUUGGGAGAGGGAUGCGGAAUUCCAGGUGUAGCGGUGAAAUGCGUAGAGAUGUGGAGGAACACCGAUGGCGAAGGCAGCCCCCUGGGUCAAGAUUGACGCUCAUGCACGAAAGCGUGGGGAGCAAACAGG
rnacentral:rRNA from 1 species